CUUCCGCGUCUCCGGCUGCUGAGCUGGCUGAUGGAGUGUAUUGCUGUGGCCAGAGUUGGGCGGUGACUAGCGGCGGUCAGGACUGCUCACCUUCGGUCAGGUUCAGAAAGGCAAGAAGAUGGAGCGCAGUACUGGCUUCCUGCUGAACGUCGGCAGCAGUGGAGGGGCCCGGAAGCGCUAUCCGAACAACGUGAGCCUCUGGCAGAGAAAAGAAAGCUCUAAAACUGUGUACUCCAGCGGGCUUCGGAACGGGGCCCACAGCGGUGUCUGGGUCUUGGGUGAAACAGACCGAGGCGGAAAAGAUGUGGGCGCGGCUCCCGCCUUUGAGGCUCCGAGGAGCCCUGAGAUCUAGGUUCUGGAGGCUCCCGGAGGCAGUAGGGUGAUUGCCCUUCAAAGAGCAUCCACCCGGUCGUUUGUUUGGCUAUGUACCUUCAGCUGGUGGUACCGCCACAUCACGUAGGAGUCGUCUCCAUUUUAUUGAUUGGGAAUGUAAGACUCAAAGAACUCAGGUUUACUGGCCAAGAUGGCAUAGUAAGUAGUGUUGUUAAGAUCUGGGCUCAGGGGAAUACGCCCUGGAAGCCCAGUGCUCUAUCUGCUACGCCAAAAUAGCUCUUUAAUAAAUUAGUUGAAUUUCAAAAAA